GAGUUUGAUCAUGGCUCAGAUUGAACGCUGGCGGUAUGCUUAACACAUGCAAGUCGAACGGUAGCAGGCCUUCGGGCGCUGACGAGUGGCGGACGGGUGAGUAACGCGUAGGAAUCUGCCUCAUAGUGGGGGACAACGUGGGGAAACUCACGCUAAUACCGCAUACGCCCUACGGGGGAAAGCGGGGGACCUUCGGGCCUCGCGCUAUGAGAUGAGCCUGCGUUAGAUUAGCUAGUUGGUAGGGUAAAGGCCUACCAAGGCGACGAUCUAUAGCUGGUCUGAGAGGACGAUCAGCCACACUGGGACUGAGACACGGCCCAGACUCCUACGGGAGGCAGCAGUGGGGAAUAUUGGACAAUGGGCGCAAGCCUGAUCCAGCAAUACCGCGUGUGUGAAGAAGGCCCUAGGGUUGUAAAGCACUUUCAAUGGGGAGGAAAACAGUCAGAUUAAUACCCUGGCUCUUGACAUUACCUUUAGAAGAAGCACCGGCUAACUCCGUGCCAGCAGCCGCGGUAAUACGGAGGGUGCGAGCGUUAAUCGGAAUUACUGGGCGUAAAGCGUGCGUAGGCGGUUCGUUAAGUCAGAUGUGAAAGCCCCGGGCUCAACCUGGGAACUGCAUUUGAAACUGGCGAACUAGAGUUGAGU
rnacentral:rRNA from 1 species